rnacentral:sRNA from 1 species
GCAGCUUGUAAACCAGCCCCUCGUGCCAC